GACGAACGCUGGCGGCGUGCUUAACACAUGCAAGUCGAACGGAAAGGCCCUGCUUUUGUGGGGUGCUCGAGUGGCGAACGGGUGAGUAACACGUGAGUAACCUGCCCUUGACUGUGGGAUAACUUCAGGAAACUGGGGCUAAUACCGGAUAGGAGCUCCUGCUGCAUGGGGGGGGUUGGAAAGUUUCGGCGGUUGGGGAUGGACUCGCGGCUUAUCAGCUUGUUGGUGGGGAGGUGGCUCACCAAGGCUUGGACGGGUAGCCGGCCUGGGAGGGGGACCGGCCCCAUGGGCCUGCGGUAGGGACCAGUGUGCCAUGGUGGGCAAUGGGCGGGAAUAUUACCCAACAGGGCGGAGCCUGAUGCAGCGGCGCCGCGUGCGGAAUGACGGCUUUCGGGUUGUAAACCGCUUUGGCCUGUGACGAAGCGUGGAUGACGGUAAUGGGUAAAGAAGCACCGGCUAACUACGUG
rnacentral:rRNA from 1 species